GAUUUGAUCCUGGCUCAGGGCGAACGCUGGCGGCACGCCUCAGACAUGCAAGUCGAGCGAUCGGAUCCCGAGAAAAGCCUUCGGGUGGAUCUUGGGAUUACGGAGCGGCGAACGGGUGAGUAACACGUGGGUAAUCAGUCCUGAAGUUCGGAAUAACCCUGGGAAACCGGGGCUAAUGCCGAAUAUCGUCAUCAAACCGCAUGGUUAGAUGACGAAAGAUUUAUCGCUUCAGGAGGAGCCCACGGCCUAUCAGCUUGUUGGUGGGGUAACGGCCCACCAAGGCUACGACGGGUAGCUGGUCUGAGAGGACGAUCAGCCACACUGGAACUGAGACACGGUCCAUACUCCUACGGGAGGCAGCAGCGGGGAAUCUUGCGCAAUGGGCGAAAGCCUGACGCAAUAACGCCGCGUGGGGGAUGAAUGCCUUCGGGUUGUAAACCCCU
rnacentral:rRNA from 1 species